rnacentral:rRNA from 1 species
AGCAGCCGCGGUAAUUCCAGCUCCAAUAGCGUAUAUUAAAGUUGUUGCAGUUAAAAAGCUCGUAGUUGAAUUUCGGGGUUAAUAAGUUGGUCGUACCUAUGGUAUGUACUGGCUUUAUUGAUUCCUACCUCUUGACGAACUGUGAUGCCAUUAAUUUGGUGUUGCAAGGAAUCAGGACUGUUACCUUGAAAAAUUAGAGUGUUUAAAGCAGGCUUACGCUUGAAUACAUUAGCAUGGAAUAAUGAAAUAGGACGUUUGAACCUAUUUUGUUGGUUUCUAGGAUCGACGUAAUGAUUAAUAGGGAUAGUUGGGGGCAUUAGUAUUCAAUUGUCAGAGGUGAAAUUCUUGGAUUUAUUGAAGACUAACUACUGCGAAAGCAUUUGCCAAGGAUGUUUUCAUUAAUCAAGAACGAAAGUUAGGGAUCGAAGACGAUCAGAUACCGUCGUAGUCUUAACCAUAAACUAUGCCGACUAGGGAUCGGAUGAUGUUAAUUUUU